AGAGUUUGAUCAUGGCUCAGAUUGAACGCUGGCGGCAUGCCUAACACAUGCAAGUCGAACGGUAACGCGGGGGCAACCCUGGCGACGAGUGGCGGACGGGUGAGUAAUACGUAGGAAUCUGCCCAUUUGUGGGGGAUAACCCGGCGAAAGCCGGGCUAAUACCGCAUACGCUCUACGGAGGAAAGCAGGGGAUCGUAAGACCUUGCGCUAAUGGAUGAGCCUACGUCGGAUUAGCUAGUUGGUAGGGUAACGGCCUACCAAGGCGACGAUCCGUAGCUGGUCUGAGAGGACGAUCAGCCACACUGGGACUGAGACACGGCCCAGACUCCUACGGGAGGCAGCAGUGGGGAAUAUUGGACAAUGGGGGCAACCCUGAUCCAGCAAUGCCGCGUGUGUGAAGAAGGCCUGCGGGUUGUAAAGCACUUUCAGAGGGGAAGAAAAAAUCGGAUCUAACACAUCCGAGCUUGACGUUACCCUUAGAAGAAGCACCGGCUAACUAC
rnacentral:rRNA from 1 species